GCGACUUUUGGAUACUCUCAUUUUCGUUCUACGUAUCUCAGACUCAGGACUAUAUCUUUGAUAUGAUGGAAUUUUACCAUUUAUCCGUCUUAAAAUAUCGAACUUAGAAAAGCAUCACGUUAUAUGUUAAAUAAUUGUAUUGCUGAUUUUCAUUUUGUAUGAAAAUUAAUUUAGAGCAUUUUUUGGUGAUAUAAUAUUUUCUCUAGUAAUAUUUUUUUUUUUUUCUGUCGCAGAAGUUCUCUGAUAAUAAUUAUUCAGGGAAAUUUUGCUGCAAUUUGGAAAUCAAAUUUUAACUUUCCAAGGCUAUGAGUUUUCCUGAUAAUAACAACUUUUCUUCUGAGCUUAAUGUUGAUGACUCAUAUACUGGUGCUGUUUCAACUGGAUUAGAAAACAUGGAUAAGUGUAAAAUUUUAGAGGAAGAUUUUUGUGAUGCUGCUCGUAUAGACGCUUUGAAGGAGAUUUCAAAAAAUACUGAUAUUUGCACAGAUGAAAAAGAUAUGGAUUCCAACUCCAAAGUGCUGAACAAUAAUUACUGUUGUGAAGAAAAUUGUGUUAAAAGUGACAAGGAUUAUUUUAAUGAACACAGUCUUAAGGAUGUGCAAAACUUUGUCACCUUAAAAAAUGUUUUCAAUCUUUCACCUGAUUUUCUUCUGGCUCCGAAUGAAUCAGUAUUAAUAGCUGAUGAGUUUAAUUCAAGUUCUAUAAAUAGUAAUGAUUGUUCAGAUUUACAUUUUUUGGAAAAGAUGGAUUGCCUUCUGAAAAGUGAAACUACUCCUUUUCAUCCAGAAAUUGCAAAUUUCAUUCAGGAGCUGCUUUUGGAAAUGGAAGCUCUUUUAAACAGUUUAAAGAGUGGUGUGAAUUCUGUAAGUGAUCCUGUGGCUUUGUCAUAUAUUACACGUUGCCAAACUAUUAGAAAAUAUCUAGAAAAAAUUCUCCUUUUGGAAUUUAAAAAGCUAGAGGAGCGUAAAAUAGAAAAGCAAAAUUUUGAAGAAUAUACAUUUUGCAUGAAAUCAUCUGCUUUAAAACAAGAUAAAUUAAUUCAUUCUCUUUUAGAGCAAGUUAAUUCAUGUGUAAAUGAGAACAAAAGCCUUCAUGAGCGACUUUGUUUUUUAAAAGACAAAUUGCAAUCCUUUGGUCUAUUAAAACCUGAAGGCAAUGAUGAGUUUAAAAGCUAUUCUGAAAUAGUGAACCAGAUUUCAGAUAUUGAUGAGAUUUUUGAAGACAAUAUUAAUUUGGAUAAUCAUCACAACAAUGAUAUACCAAAUAAUUAUUUGGAAUUUUUGCAAAUUUUUAAAACUUCAUCAGCCAAUUUACAAACUCUGAGUAUACAGGCUAGAAAUUUACAACUAUUGUCAGAUUCCUCACAUAAAUUAAAUGAUAAUUUAAUAUCUAGGGUUCAAGAUCAAGAAUUUCAAAUGAAAGGUAUAGCUAAACAAUUAGAACAAGCUCACAAUCUUCUGGCAGCUAUGAAGAAACAGCACCAGAGACUGCAAUCUGCAGAAAACAUUGUCAAAUAUGAUCUCCAAGAAAAGCGUCGAUUUUUAAACAAACUAAAACAGCAGUUGGAGGCAACUCGAGAGAAUUGUGAUCUUGUUAGAAUGAAGAAUUCCAAGUCAGAAGCAGAAUGGCAAGAUUUAAGGAGAGAAUUUGUGGAAAGGAAUAAACAGACUAGUGAAGAAAGUGAUUUUAUUGAUGACAGAGGUGAAGAAAGUUGUUUUAUUGAUGAUAUUGGUGAAGAAAAUGUUUUGGUUGAUGAUAACAUUGAAAAUAAUGGUCUUAUUGAUCAAUGUAUAACUGUUGAAAGCUGUGUUGUUGUUAAUAAUGUUAAUGAAAGUGUUCCUAAUAAGGAAGUUUCUGUUAGCAACAGUGAUACUGAAUCAAGAUAUGAACUGAAAAGGAAUCGCCUUCAGCUUUUAGAAGAACAGUGCAAAUUACUUUACACUAAUUUAAAAAACAAGUCUAAUAGAGGGAAAGAACUUGAUACACGUCUAGAAUCUUGGUGUAAAGCCAUUGAAAAUUCUCCUAUUAAAGCCUCUAAAAAGAAUAAUUUGUCAGUGAUCUUGAAUGCUAACAAAGAAUAUAAAGAUGACCCAGAUCAAGUUGCAACUGAAAACAUAAACAUUGAUUUUAAUAGUGAUGUUGAUAGCCCAUUAUCAUCACCUGAGAUUGAGAGCUUUGACUCAGACAGUUGUUCGUGUAUUCAGCAUGAUUCCAGUACAAUUUCAAAAGAAUUGUUUUCUUUAGAGUCUUUAAAAACAGAUGAGUUGUUAUCUUCUAAAAUCAAUGAUUUGGAUAGUAAUAAGCUUUCUUUUGAACGUGAAGAACAACAGAGUGUUGCUUCUGACCCAUUGUCAGUAGAACUUUAUGGUAAUUGUGACUCCAAAACUGUAGACUGUGUUCAGGACAGUGCUUAUUUUGAAUCUGUGGACUCACUUGAAAAAAAUGAGAAAUGCCAAUUGGAAAACUGUGAUUCUGAAGAGAUGUUAACUCAAACAAAAGAUAAUGGACAUAUUAGUUCUACUGAAAAUUAAAGAGAUUUUUAACAUCAUUCAAAUACAGUGCCGAAGGCUUUGAAGAAUCUAGAAAAACCUUUACUUUGAAUCUUUACUACUUGGAACAAAGUUGAGAUAAGAAUCUCAAAGAAUUCUGUGUGGCGAAUGGAGUUAUUUUCCCUCCUCUCUUCUCAUUCCUUUAUUUAUGUGAAUUCAAAUAUCUGUGUUUAAGUUGAGCUAAUAAGAAAUGCAACUACAAGUGCCUUAAACUUAAAAAGAUCAAAAAAUAUUAUUGAUUUUUUUUAUGACAAUGAAAAUCUUUAGCUACUAUUUCCCAUACUUUGUUGAAGCACUUUCUAAUACCAUUGAAAUUUUUUUAAUUCUCUAACUUAAUAAAUCAGCAUUUUAAAGGUAACCAUAAACUCACUUAAUAGUCAACAACUAUCAUGUUCUAUUUUUGCAAACUGUUUGUCUUAAUUUUAUUAAAUUAGCAUUCUAUUUUAAAACUUCACCAUGAAUCCUCAUGCACAAAUGGUAUUAAGUUCAUGACCAUUAUACUUUAAUUUGUGUAUUUCAUUCUAAUUUUUGUUCCAUUUGAAAUAAUUUGAAUCCUCUCCAAAACACUUUAAAGUUGAUAAACUUUAGUUUGCACAACUUUGUAUAAAAAUUGAAUAUAACAAAGAUUGAUAAAAUAUCUUAAAUAAUACGAAGGAUUCAAUAAAAUUAAAAAUGAAUUGCUUUAUUUUUAAUUUCAAAUUCCUUUUAAAAUUGUAUACAUAAAAUUUUUAAAGAAUUUUAUUAAAGUUGCAUCUAUUGCAUUUGUUUUAUAAAUUAUGCUCAGUUUCCAGGUGCAUUUAAUUAAUUGGCAUUGUUCAAAUGCAUCAUUUUUGAGUGAAGACACAUCAUGUUAAAAAUAAUUCCUCCCUCUCUCUAUUCUCAUGUUUGAAAACUUGAAUGAUCACUUUAUGUACUUGCUAUCUUUGUGUAUGCAUAUUUAAGUGAGUAAUAUUUUCUCACAUAAUUCUAUUAAAUAUAUGAUCAUGAGACAUGUUGCUGAUGCUCAUUUAGAAUCCUGAUUUAAAUUGAAAACACAAGUUACUAAACAGUUAUGUUCAAUGGUACUCAUAAGAGUAACUCUACAAUUCAAUUAGAGUAAUUCUUACCUCAAUUUGUCCUUAUUUUAAUAAAAAUAUAAUAAAUAUUAUUAUUUGUUUUAAUAUUUACUUUGGACUUGCAAUAUUUAGGAAAAUACAUUUAUAACCAGAAUAAUUUUUUAUCUGUGAAGAAAAACAAAUUGUUUGUUUUUUGAUCCCAUAAAUUCAUUAACACUUGGACUGUGAGAAUAAUUAGUAUUUUGUAGAAUAAUAAAGUUUUAGUGGAGAAAGGUCUUAAUUCAGAGAUUUACAUAUGUUUCUAGAUUUUAUUGAAAAAAUUCUCAUUUGGAAAAAAUGAAUUAAUUUGAUAUUUCUCAAUGAAUAUUAAAAACAUUAAUUUGAAUGAGAUCUUGACAAUCUAUACAGAUAAAAAUGAAAUACCUAAAUAAAUAUAAUGAACAGUUUAUAUACAUUGAAAUUCCAAUUUACGCAAUAAAUUUUAUACAAAUUUUGCUCUCAAAUACUGGAUAUAUAAGAAAGUUUUUAGGGAAGAUCUCUUAACAAUUAAUUACAGUGUAUUUUUUUUAUAAUUAAAGACUAUAACAGAUAUAAUAUUUUACCAUAUCAUUGGUAACACUGGUUUCCUUUUCUAUGAAGAAAUAUUUACUCUGAUAAUAGAUCACUCUGAAGUGGAAAGUUGCAUAUGAUAAAAUAAUUUUUUAUAUUAUAAUAGUUUAUAUAAAUGUAUUUUUUACAUUAUAUUUUUAAAUGAAUUUAUUUAUAUGUGCAUAAGCAUUCUAUUGAAUGCUAAUUAUUUAAUCUAUUUUUAUUUUCUUCAUGUGACUUUCAUACUAUGUAACUAUCAAUAUCUGGUAUCAUAAUUGUGAACUUUAAAUGUAUUCAUUAGGUUAUUAUUAUUGAAAUUUUAAUAAUAAUAUAGACAGUUUUAAUAAGAGCUUCAUAACUUUUAAUUAAGUGGUUAGCAAUUUCCUUCAUAAAAGACAUAAAAAUAUUUUCAAAUCAAAUGGCAUGGAACAUAUUUACUAUUUAUAAAAAUCAUGAUUCAAAUUCUGAACAAUCUUUUCUUUAUUUUUUUUCUUAUACGAUACAUAUGAUGAAUAAUUUAAAUACUUUUUUCCCUUUAAUAAUGAAAUCGAUGAACUUUGUAAUUUGAAUGGAAUAGCAGGGAGUAGCUAUGAAUUUUAUAUCCAAAAAGUUUGAAAUCACAUGGCAUAAAAAUAGAUUCAAUAAUGUUUAAAUAUUUUAUUGUUGUUGUCUUUUUUCACUUUUUACUUUCUCUUGCUCCUUGCAAAACCUCUCUUCUUUCUAAAAACGCUUUUUUUCUUACCUACAGUUCAUUUCAUCAAUAUUUUAUCCUAUUUGUCAAUUAUACUUAGCAACUCAUUUGGAGAUUCUGUGAUUGUUUGAUGUAGAUAUUUAAAAUGUGCCGUAAAAUGUAGUGAGAAUAAUUUUUCAAAUGACUAUUUGUUUUUAUUAAAAACAAAAAUAUUAUUUGAUGAAUUAUUUUCUUUAUCCAUAAUUAUAAAUCUAAAAUAAAUUUCUAAAAAUUGAACUAUUCUGUUUAUCUGUCAUGCAAUUUUUACCACUAAUUAUGUAUCUUUAUCAUCUAUUAAUAGAUCUAAAAAGUUUACUAUUUUGUUAAAUAAACUUUUGAGGUGUAUGAUAGUUUUGUUAAAAUUACCAGGUACUAUUUAUUAUCAUUUGCUAUUAAUCUGCAUUGUAAUACUGUUCAAUUAGGCACAUAUAUUAUUUUGCAGUGCUGAUAAUUCUAUAAUUAAUUUAGAGAAAGCUAUUCUUCAACAUCAAGAAUUGUCAUCCUCAAAAGGUGAGCUUGGUUAUACAGUAGUACCUAAAAGUUUGCAGUGGAAAGGAUUUGGAAAUUGCAGUCUGAGAGAGCUACAGUGGACAGAUGGCAUAGUCUUAGGAUAUGGAUAGGAUAGUCGUAGAUUUGAAACUCAAACUACCAAAGAUCCAUCAUUUGCAUUGGUCUGAUUCAUUUUAAACUAAACAAAUUCAAACGUCCCCUUGCUGGUAUGCAUGACUCUGACAGAUUGCUGAUCUUCAACUUCAUGUUUAUUGACAAGUACAUUUAUGAGAGAAGGGAAAGUAUGAAAUAAUGAGUUGGCCACAAGGAAAUAUAAUAAUUGUAAAAAAAUAGAAUUAUGUUGAAUUUGACAUUUUUUUACUGCUUAAUAUUGAUACAUUUUCUAUAGAUAGAAGUAUAAUGUCUCAAAGUAUCUAAUCGCCACUAAAAAUUACUAAAAGCCUUGUUAGCUUCAGAGCAUUUGACCAUGGUACAAAUGGAGCUAUAUCAAAAUAAAUCCUCUGUAGUUCAAAACAGUCUCAAUAAUCUUAACUAAUCUAAACUUUCAGUCUCUCUCUAUAUAUUUUUCAAUGGUCACUUUGCUGAUAUUGGUACCUUCCCAGCAAAGCAUGAAAAAUUAUAACCAGGUUUUUUAAGUAGUCAUAUUUUUACUUGAAUGUGAUAUGAAAGAAAUUCUGAAUCAAGAAUUGUCAUAUUACUAAUAUUUUUGUGACCAGAUUUCUUUUUAAUGCAUGACUACUA